CAUUACUUUGGAGGAAAUAUAGUGGAGUAGAAAAAGCAUAGGCUCUGAAUCCAGGCCUUCUUCACAGAUUAAAAAGCUGUUUACACAAGAAUGGGCCCCAGUGAUUUGAGAAAACAGAAUAGAUGCAGAUGCAGAUAAAAAAAAAAUCUUAAAGGAUCCAUUAUUUGGGCAGCGUGGAGAGUUCAUCCAGGAUCAUUCUGAAAAAGAGGA